rnacentral:rRNA from 1 species
GCCCUACGGGACGCAGCAGUGGGGAAUAUUGCACAAUGGGGGAAACCCUGAUGCAGCGACGCCGCGUGAGCGAAGAAGUACCUCGGUAUGUAAAGCUCUAUCAGCAGGGAAGAAAGUGACAGUACCUGACUAAGAAGCCCCGGCUAACUACGUGCCAGCAGCCGCGGUAAUACGUAGGGGGCAAGCGUUAUCCGGAUUUACUGGGUGUAAAGGGGGCGCAGACGGCAGCGCAAGCCAGGAGUGAAAGCCCGGGGCCCAACCCCGGGACUGCUCUUGGAACUGCGCGGCUGGAGUGCGGGAGGGGG